AAUAAAAGAAUAAAAGAAUGAAAUAAAAAGAAACAAACAGAAUAAGAAACAGAGAGCAUUCGAAAAACAGAGGAAGAAAAGGGAAAGAAAAGAAAAAAGGAAAAUUGGGAUUUUGAAGCUUCAAACUUGUUUGCUAACAAGGAAAACGAGGCAUCGGCAUCCAAAGGAAAAGAAAAGAUCGUUGAGGAGUAAAUUCGUAUUUCGGAUUUGUAUUACUAUAACUCAAAUUAUUUAUUAAAUGGACAUUGAAUUUAUAGUUAUGGAAUAAUUAAGAUAAGGUAAGUAUUAUAUUUAAAUUUAAAUAUAAGUAUGUGUGAAAAUUAAUUUGUAUAUGAAUUAAGAUAACAGAUAUUUGAAUUGAUUGAGUAUUGAAAAUUUUUGUGUAAAUGAAA